GAUGAAGAACGCAGCGAAAUGCGAUAGGUAAUGUGAAUUGCAGAAUUCAGUGAAUCAUCGAAUCUUUGAACGCACAUUGCGCCCUGUGGUAUUCCGCAGGGCAUGCCUGUUCGAGCGUCAUUUCAACCCUCAAGCCCCGCUUGGUGUUGGGCCCCGCCCGCCGUGGCCGGCCCUAAAGACAGUGGCGGCGCCGCCUGGCCCUCAGCGUAGUACAGCUCUCGCUCCAGGGUCCGGCGGCCGCCUGCCAGAACCCCCCAACUCUGUGGUUGACCUCGGAUCAGGUAGGGAUACCCGCUGAACUUAAGCAUAUCAAUAAGCGGAGGA
rnacentral:misc_RNA from 1 species